rnacentral:tRNA from 1 species
GUCCUAGUAGCUUAAACUAAAGCACUG